rnacentral:tRNA from 1 species
CGCGGGGUGGAGCAGUCUGGUAGCUCGUUGGGCUCAUAACCCAAAGGUCGCUGGUUCGAAUCCAGCCCCCGCUACAA